rnacentral:rRNA from 1 species
AGAUUGGCUCACUGGGUGUAAAGCGUGCGCAGGCGGUUUUGUAAGACAGAGGUGAAAUCCCCGGGCUCAACCUGGGAACUGCCUUUGUGACUGCAAGGCUGGAGUGCGGCAGAGGGGGAUGGAAUUCCGCGUGUAGCAGUGAAAUGCGUAGAUAUGCGGAGGAACACCGAUGGCGAAGGCAAUCCCCUGGGCCUGCACUGACGCUCAUGCACGAAAGCGUGGGGAGCAAACA